rnacentral:misc_RNA from 1 species
GGCAAACAAGCGUACGGCUCACCUGAUGGUAAGCGAUUACCGUAGCAUAUAGACAUCUGCAACACCAGAAGCAUCACAAGCGCGUUGCCGACCCUAUCCCCAAUCCCAAAACCCAACUAUAACGUUGUUAACUGACGUUAAACGUGUCAACGAACGUUAACUGAGGUAGGGUACAGCAGGAAUUUCCUGCUCAAAAUAUGGAGCAGCCCGACUGGGGUAGUACCUCGACCUUACAGAAGAUCACAGCAAAAUAAUACUGUUUUCAAGCAGUAUUGUGUUCCUGUUGGUGAGUAAGGUGACCAGAGCUCCAGGGGUGAUUGGAAGUAGGGUCGGCAAUGCGCUUGAGAUGCUUUACAAACGUUUAUAGGCUACAGUAAUCGCUUACCAUCAAAUGAGCCGUAUGCUUGUUUGCCGACCUAGUUGUAUAAAAAAGUGCUUAAGUAGUAGGUAUAAGUGCCUAAUUUUUUUCUAUUUAUAAAACAAGAUUUGGAUAGUGAUUAUCUGACUGAAACACGAGAUAUAAUGAUUAAAUAAAAGGAAAAAAAAAUAUUAAAUAAAAUAAAAUCGUAAUUGGCCUUAAUGAUUAUAUUUCUUUCUUGUUUCUUUCAUAGCUUUUUUAUGAUGUGUAUGGUUCGCAUAUGUACCCAAAUAAAUAAAUAAAAGGAAUCAACGAUAUAAUACUACUUAUUAAGUACUACAUAUAAACUAAAACAAGAAAGACAAAAUACGCACUAAGCCUAUUUUAUUACUGGAAUAGUAAUCUCUUUCAGACAAGUUAUCUAAUUUUAAAACAAAAGACGUUACAGCCUGUGUGUGAGUCGCAUUUAGUAAUUAUGCUGGGAGUACUGUAAAUUUGUGGUCGCUUAGAAAAUUUUGGUUCGGAUACCAACCUUCAUUUGUAGGUGGUAGCUAGUAAUAGGUAUUUCCUGAUACACAAAUUGUGCACGAUAUGGGUCUUGUUGGGGUAGUUAUCUAUAAAUACCUCUUGUUUACGCAGGCUAGCUUUCAUGAAAUUUAUUUGAUCACUACCCGGACCGGACCCGGCAGACGCUGUCCUGCCCGGAAAACAGCUACUAAAUUUGAUUGCUUACAUACCGAAAGCAGCGUCACCUACCGGGUCCAAUUGAUAUAAAAACUACCCAAUCUUCUAAGUUGGAUCAAGUUACAGAUGCUUACAAAAUUUGAUGAAAAUUGGUUGAGUAGUUUCGGAGUUUAUCGCCCACAUAUAUCGUGACACGAAAUUUAUUCAUAUAUAUAGAUUAACUAAGAAGUAAUAAUUAAAAAGUUCCAUGCUUAAAAUACCCUGUCAUUUAAAACAUUUUUGUAACUAUUUUACUUUUUAAAUUAAAUAAGUUGUAUACAGUAGUAUAAAAAGUUGCUAUAAUGUAUAUAUAUAUAUAUAUAUAUAUAUAUAUAUAUAUAUAUAUAUAUAUACCUAUUUUGUGUAGCUACACAUUUUGUGCUCUGUUAGAAUUAUUUUAAUGGAAAUAAUUAUUUUUAUAACAAAUUAGAAAUUAUAUUAUAAUAAAUUAGAAUUCGUACCAUUCAAUGCGGUGGUUGCUUUUAUCGGUACAAAAGUGAUAAUUUACAGAAACAAAACGUUGUCAAAUUCAUGAAUUGAUUAUGAUAAAAUUUGUCAUAUUAAUCGCUUUGUUGAAUUCAUAUCAUAUCAUGAGAUAAAAAUUUUAAUCACUGUUAAAUAUAAUUCAAAGAAAUUUUAAUCAGCGUUUUUAAUUUUACUAACACGAUAACUAUAAAAGACAAUAAUCUAUAAUAUAAAAAUGAGUCGCUGAAUCUGUUGCUAAGCGCAAAACUCGAGAACGGUUGGACCGAUUUCGCUAAUUCUUUUUUUAAAAUAUUCCUUGAAGUACGA